CUCGGCGAACUGCUCAGUAACACGUGGAUAAUUUGCCCUUAGGUGGAGGAUAACCUCGGGAAACUGAGAAUAAUACUCCAUAGAUCUAGGAUGCUGGAAUGCACUUAGAUUAAAAGCUCCGGCGCCUAAGGAUAAGUCUGCGGACUAUCAGGUUGUAGUCAGGGUAAAGACCUGACUAGCCUACAACGGAUACGGGUUGUGAGAGCAAUAACCCGGAGACGAUAUCUGAGACACGAUAUCGGGCCCUACGGGGCGCAGCAGGCGCGAAACCUUCGCACUGUGCGAAAGCGCGAUGAGGGGAUCCCAAGUGCUUGCUCGUAAGAGUAAGCUGUUUUUAUGUCUAAAAAGCAUAGAGAGUAAGGGCUGGGUAAGACGGGUGCCAGCCGCCGCGGUAAUACCUGCAGCUCAAGUGGUGAUCAUUAUUAUUGGGCCUAAAACGUCCGUAGCCGGUUUGGUAAAUGCCUGGGUAAAUCGUGUAGCUUAACUAUACGAAUUCCGGGUAGACUGCCAAACUUGAGACCGGGAGAGGCUAGAGGUACUCCUGGGGUAGAGGUGAAAUUCUGUAAUCCUAGGGGGACCACCAGUGGCGAAGGCGUCUAGCUAGAACGGGUCUGACGGUCAGGGACGAAGCCCUGGGGCGCGAACCGGAUUAGAUACCCGGGUAGUCCAGGGUGUAAACGCUGCUUGCUUGAUGUUAGUUGGG
rnacentral:rRNA from 1 species